rnacentral:misc_RNA from 1 species
UCUGUUGAGUGCACUCGAUAGAACACGUAUUGGUGCAGUGAGCACUCAAGCGGGUCUUUUAUUUGGGUAAGCGGUGGUGAAGACUGCUCUUUCGUAGGUGUUGCGUGUUUGAUCCUCGCCACUCUCUGUAGUUUUGCAGUGUCACAUAUUGGCCAGUAGUGCGCCUCUUCUCUGAGGGGUUCGUAUCGCAAGGGUUUGCUCGCUGUUCGCGCUUUCCGGUUUUGCGGCUGCUCGUUUGGCGUGUGAGCUCUGUUGCUCAGCUCUGGAGGUGGUACACAAGGGCACCCUCAUAGCUGUGUCUCUCCGUUUGUGCAGUCGCCGCGUGUGCCCUACCGUGGCGCUGCCAGCCAGAACAGGUGGCGCGUACCUCACGGGCAGUCACGCAUUCGAUAGAAAGGCCUGUACCGAGAGGAAGUGUUCUCAAGCAAGGCUCACAUCGACGCGAAUCGGAUCUUACACAGCACACAAGCGGGCAGAGGUGCAGCGGACGGCAAUGGCGCAAGCGGUGCCACAUAACAGCCGGAGUCAUGUUGAAGCCUUGCAUGACCCCGUCGCACCGCAUUUCGAGCUUGUCUCAUACCCCCUCUCUGAUAGCCAGGACGCUAUCGAGGAUGCCGAUUGCCAGGGUGGCGUUUUGGCGGUGCUGCGCCGCAGUGGGCGGCUGGAGGUGCGCGACGCUGAGGAAGACCGGGUGCUGCUCCGCACAGUCGUGCGUAACCCUCACAAGGUCUUUGUGCAUCCCCAGGGCACCUACGUUGUGGUCACUGCCUCUGACGGUGAGGUGAGCGUGCAGAACACGUUCGACGCACGCAUGUGCGCCACCGCUCAGCUACAAGCGACGGACGUUCUCGGUACCGUUGUGCAAGGGUCUCAGGAUGUCGUCGUCGGUGAGUGCGUGGGUUGGCUCCCACAGGACAGCUAUGGGGUAGCACCCGCCGACUACCCGGAAGCGUCGGCAGCCCGUGCCAUCUCUGCUUCCACGACGCAAGGCUCGUCAACAGCUGGCGCGGCCGAGUGGAGCUACUUGAUGGGGGUGAACAAGGGCAGUGCCAUCUUUGCUCUGCAUGUGUGGGUCAGCAGCAGUAGCCCCAACCGGCUGAAGAUGCGAGCUGUGCUGGCUUGGUCGCUGCCGUCUCCAGCAAGCUGUGCCUUCCCGAUCCGCUCCAUCGCGUUCGCGGCGACGGGGGCCGGCGGCUGCGUUCUUCUCAUUUCGACAGCCAUCAAUCUGCACGAAGCACACAGCAGCAGCAUUGCCGCUCCGGCGCCUUUGUUUCACGCACUCCGUUCGGGCACCGUCAAGCUGCGCACGCAGACGGUGCCCCUGUACGCAGGCUCCGCCUCGGCGCCGGUGGCGAACGGGCGGGUGCUUCUCUACCGUGGUUCGUAUGCCGCCGCGCCGCAGUCGUACGUGUGGAAUAGCGCCGCUGGUGUUGUUCAUGGACUGUUUGACCGCGACGUCUCGACUGACAUGGUAGACGAAAACGAGCGGCUGCUCUUUCGAACUUCGUCCGUCCCCGAGACAUCCGUGCCCUCCGUGGGUGAGGCGGGGGCGCGCGUGAAUGAGCAGUCGUUCUCGCUCGCUAAAGUCGCAGACAGCACGGACGCGGCCGGGGCUGGAGUGGACAGGGCCGCGCUGCCGCCGUCGGCCGUCCCCAUCGCAGUGGCCCCGACAGCGUUUCACAUGAUUGUGCUCUACCCGCAGCGGUGCAUCGUGCUACACCAACCUCCGGGAGCGUCGUGGCGCAGUCCUGCCGAUUGCGGCGGCGCGGUGGAGCGCUUCACACCGCCGCUGCCUGCUGAAGUGGCACAGCGGAUCCGCUUCGACCCGUUCCGGGCAUCGCCGCCGCCGUCCUCUGAGCUGUGCGGCGUCAUCCACGACGCCGAGGCGCGCCGAUUUUUCCUCUUCAGCCGCACGCAUCUCUGGGAAGUUCUCAUCGAGGACGAGGCGCACCAGCAGUGGCGCCUCUUUCUCGAGCGCGGACGUGAUGCGCAGGUGCCCUUGGCGGUGCGCAAGCGCUACAUGGAUGCGGCGUGCCGCCUUGCCUUCUACUCGGACACUCAGCGCAACCUCUGUCUGUUUCACUGCGGCCAGUUCUUCCUCGACUGCGGAGCCACUCGCCACGCGAUUGCCCAGUUCGCCAAGUGUGACUGGUUCGAGGACAUCUACGCGCUGUUGACGACAUACCGGAACACGAACGUGCGCACCGCGUUUGUGGAGGCUCGCUUCCAGUUUCUGCUGUCGCAUCUCGCUUCGCUGGACGACUGGGCGCCGCAGCUGACGAGCAUGUUUGUGAUUCUCAUGCUCGCGAAACUCGACCAGAUCGCGCGCACUGCCCCAGCGUCCGCAGCCGCUGAGGCGGAUUUUCACAAGUUCCUGCUGAGCACAGUGGAGCAGUGCGGCGUCUUCCUGAAGGAGAAGGCGGUGUAUGAGCUGGUGUUGCGCCUGCUGGAGGAACAGGGCCGGCCCGAGAGCGCGUUGAUAUUCGCCAAGGCAAUGCAACACACACGCUACGUUGUCGCUUCCCACAUCGUUCAGCAGCAGUUUGACGAGGCUGUCAAGGCCCUCGGCGCGUGUCACGGAUCUGUUGCCCGUUUGCAGCCCUGGUAUGAGUUUACGUCCGUACUGAUCCAGCAUCGACCGGUGGCCCUGACGACGGCGCUGUUGCGUGCGCUCACUAAGGAAGCGCGGGCGGGCCGGGUGCUUCCUCUGCAGAUGGAGCGGCUAAUGCCGUCGUUUGUGCGCUAUGAUGUCUCCAUGAACGAGGUGGCCGACAACACGGAGCAUCAGGUGGUGGUGCUGCUCGAUCAGUGCAUUCACCGUUACGACUGCUCUUCGGGUGCAGUGCAUAACUACUACGUCCGCCUGCUUGCGCAGACGCACGAUGCCGUUCGCCUCGACGACUUUAUCAGCACCUCACUCUUCGUUGACACGGGGUACGCACUGCGCAUGUGCCUGAAGCACGGCUGCACGACCGCUGCAGUGGCCCUAUACAAGCACAUGCAUCUCUACCGCGACGCCGUCACUACCGCCCUGUACGCGCCUCACGAACGGCGCAACGGCGGCAGCGGCAGCGCUGACGAGGACGCGAGCGUGGCCGCGCGGUCAGAGGACAAGGAUGUGCUGCCGGGGCUUGUCGCCGCCGAAGACACGCUGCGCGGACUUGUCGGGAAAGUCGGCAACGACGAGCUUCGCCAACUGUGGAUGCUUACUGCGGAGCAGGCGCUCGCCAGCCAUAACGUUGCCGCGGCCCUCGCGGUCGUGCAGGAAUCCGGCGGCGUUCUCCGCACUGAGGAUGUCCUCCGUAAGAUCGAGGACGUGAAUCUCAUCGACGAUUUUCGGGACGUCAUCUGCGAGUACUUCGACGCCUACGCGGAUCAGAAGCGGCAACUUAGCCGAACGCAGGACGAGGUGUACCAGACCGCCGAGGACGUGAAGAAGGACCUGCGGCAGGCGCGCGAACAGUUUGGAUAUAUCACGGCGAGCCAGCGCUGCCCACUCUGCCACCGCACACUGCUGCAGAGCAGCACGCCGUACUUUGUGUACCCCAACUGCGGUCACGUCGUGCACGAGGCCUGCGCUGUGUCGCGGCUGGAGUCUAUGGGUGGCCUCGAGAGGUUCCUGGCUGACGAGGGCAUUGCGCCGCACGUACUCGACGGCAUCAGCGACGUUCACCAGCUCGCGCAGCAGGACUGUGUGCUGUGCGGCGAGGCUGUUGUUGUGGAGGUCGACAUCCCGUUGUUUCGCAAGGACGCUUCUUGGGAUUUAUAGUCAAUCAAAUUUUUUUCCGCCCUUCGCCGCGUGCGGGGCGGCUUUUUGCGGGCCCCGCGCGCCCUUUUUUUCGCCUCCAG